ACCCUCCGCUCGGGGGAUUCGGCGAAAUAUUACCCUCAGUGAUGAUAUUUUCCGAGGGGCUUUGCCCCUUUGUCACUGAGGGUAAUAUUUCGCCGAAUCCCCCGAGCGGAGGGUCU